CCCCAGUGGUCCAUAUAAGAACUUUGUUAUCUUGCAGGAGGGUCUUUAUGAAGAGGCCAUCGGUGAAGCAACAUAAGGAAAAGAGCCCCUGAGGUGACAGAAAGAGAAGAGAACCAGACCAUCUCAAUGUCCUAGUCAAAUCUAGCACCUUGGGGACCUCUCAAAUGGAUGAAUUCACAUGAAUGAUCAUUGGUAAAUCAGCAGAGGAAUUACCCAGCUAAGCCCCAACCAAAUGAUAGCUGUAAGCAAAUGAUGUGGUCAUUGUGUUAAGUCACUAAGUACUGGAGGUAGUUUGUAAUACAGCAAAAGAUAACUGUUGGUAUGAUAAUUGACAAGUCAAGGAUGUCUCUUUCUUCUCUGGCAUAUUGUGGUGUUAAGUGGAGAAGAAGGCUUGAGACCACAGCAAAAUUGGGUCAUAUCCUCACUUUGUCAAUUUUUAUCUCUAUGGUGUUAUUUGCUAUUUCUGAGUUUCAGUCUUUUUAGUUUUAAAAUGAGACAAAUAUUUCUCCUCUCUCAAUAUAGUUAAGACAUUAUGUGCGUGAAAGUUUAGGGCUAUAUGAAGUACACACCAAACAGUAGUUCUACUUCAUAUCCUCCCUAUAGUUCCUUUUAUCUUGAGGGGACAUAUAGUUAUCUAAAGCCUUUUAUUUCCUAAAACUAGUCCUGUGACCUGCUAAAGGCAAUUUUGUCACAGGUCAAUGGACUUUGUGCAUGAGUAUAUUUGAUCAACAAUCACUGUGUCUAUAUGAAGAAGAGAUAAAUUAUCAAACCACAAGUAACAGAUUUUUUUUAACAACAAUGGCAGAUUUUAGGGGUCAUUACUGGAGUCCAUGCACAUUUGUUUCUUUGUCCCAGACUAUCUGGCCGUGCCCCUCUGGAACACCACUCUUGCAUGUUACAAUAACUUGGGUUCCCAAGGAAUGUUGAAGUUACAUUCAUCUUAUUUUAUUUCAGAAGGCACAUACUAUAUUUCAGUUAGAUUUUCACAAAAAAAAGCAUUCUUUCUCAAUUGUUUGUGAAAUUCAUUCAUUUAGGUAAAAACUAAACAUUUCAAGGCAACACUAGAUGAAAUUUGGCACUCAUUGAGCCUCUGCCUUAGUACCAGAAGGUGAUUUAGGAUUUUGGAAAGGAAGUCUUAUAUUGUUUGUGUAAUUUAUGUUAAAAUUUUGCAAACAUCCAGUUUCCCAGCUCCCUGAGAUAAAACAAAGUGUGCACACGCAUACAUACACAUACACCAAAGGAUUAAGGGGAAAAGAAAUAACCUGCCUGGGCCUCAAUUUCCAAAUUGGGAAAAGAGAAAGUCAGGCUAGCUUUCUCAGACUGGAAGGUUUUCCAAGACUACUUCUAGUUCUGAGUGUAGUGGAAGUCUCACCUCCUUGUGCCUGCACUAGCCCUUCAUAGAGAAUAAGAUUAGAAACACAGGUUGCUCCCCAGCAAAACUUUAAUUGCAAAGCUUUAAUUACAAAAAGAAUCAAAAUACACACUUAGGUUAUGUUUUUUUAAAUUGUAUUUUUAAUUGUGUUUUGUCUCCAUUUUCUUUUAAAAGAGAAACGAAAACUUCAAUUUGCCAAAUUGCUGUACAUGUUUCCUUGCUGGGUAGUUGCCCUAGCAAGUUAACCUAAAAUGAUUUUCUAAAAUGUAUUUUUAAUGAGAAAAUUUGAUCCCUGAAAUUUGUCUUAAACAUUUUUUUUUUCUUCAAACCUCUUAUAGGACUCUGGAGUUUCCACACCUUAGUGCCAAGAGCAUAGCAAAGGAAUCCAGCUCAGUUUAGUAAUUACUUGUGUUACUCUAGCUCAAAGUUGUUUUGCUCUUAAUGGCUUAGGAGAGCCAUUUGAAUACUUUAAUUCUUGUAAUAAAAGUUCUAAUGGGGAAAGUAGGUGAAUGCCCAUGUAAUGUUUAGCCUAUUAAAACAGUGAUAUUCAAAGCUUUUGCAGACAAAAUUCUUACCAGGGACUAUGAAUAAGGACAGGUCAAUUGUAAGGAAAGCAAGAAAAAAAUAAGAAAGUCAAAGUCAAUUGGGAGAGUCUUUUCCUUCUUCAAAAUAGGGCCCACAAUAUAGGGGAAUUUAUUUUUUCUCCCUUCUUAUUGGAAGAGGGGAGAUUCUCCCCAGUAAUCUGCUGAUUUCAUCCCGAGCAUAUUAGUUAGGCUUCCCCAGAGAAACAGAACCAAUAGGACACACACACACGCACACACACACACACACACACACACACAUUAUAUAUGAAGAGAUUCAUUAAGAAUUGGCUCACCCAAUUAUGGAGAUAUGGAAGUCCAGUGGACUGCAACCUGGAGACCCAGAAAGCUGGUGGUGUCAUUCAAUCCAAGUCCAAAGGCCUGAGAAAAAGGGAAGCCACUGGUGUAAGUCUCAGUCUGAUGGCAGACUCAGACUGCUCAUGCAGGCAGGUAGAAAAAAGGGACAAAGUCUCCCUUCCUUAUUUUCUUGUUCUAGUCAGCCCAUCAGUAUUGGGAAAGGCCAUCUGCUUUCCUGAGCCAAAUAAUUCAAAUGCUUACCUCAUUUAGAAACACAUGCACACACACACAACUAGAAGUAAUGUUUGAAAAAUAUCUGGAUGCUCCAUGGUCCUGUCAAGUUUACACAUAAAAUUAACCCACAUACCAAGGCUUCUCAGAGCAUGUUUGUUUAACUAUAGUUUCUCAAACUAUCUGUGGUGAACAAAAGUUGCCUCCUCCCCAACCACUGGGUACUGACGCUUGUGUGAAAUACAACCAAAAUGAACCACAAAUGUGGUACAUCCACACAAUGAAAUAUUAUUUAAACAUAAGAACAUAUGAAGUAUUGAUAGAUGCUACAACAUAGGUGAACCUACGAAGUAAAAGAAGCCAGACACAAAGGGCAUAUACUGUAUGAUUCCAUGUAUGUGAAAUGUCUGGAGUGAAUGCCCAUGUAAUGUUUAGCCUAUUAAAAUAUUCGGGCUGGGGAUGUGGCUCAAGUGGUAGCGCGCUUGCCUGGCAUGCACGGGGCGCUGGAUUCGAUCCUCAGCACCACAUAAAAAUAAAAAAAUAAAGAUGUUGUGUCCACCGAAAACUAAAAAAUAAAUAUUAAAAAAAAUUUCUCUCUCCCCCUCUCUCUUUAAAAAAAAACAGUGAUAUUCAAAGCAAGAAUAUGUAGAGCAAGAAAGUUGAUAAGGGCUGGGGGUUAGAGUGCAAAUACUGAAGAGUGAAAAUUAAGUAGAGUCAGUUGUAUUCUGACUCUAGUAUUGCAGUAUGUAUAUACAUGGCUGUAUAACCAAUGUGAUCCUGCAAUCUGUACACGUGGAAAAAUGAGAAUUCAUACCCUAUUUGAAUCAAAUGUAUGAUAUGUCAAUAUCAUUGUAUUGUCUUGAACAACUAAUAGAAAAAAGAAAAUUAAGUAGAAGUGAUGAAAUGUUUUAAAAUUGACUGUGGCUGUGGAUAAACGUUAUUAAAUUAUAUAAUUUUAAUGUGUAAAUUGUAUGGUUAUUAUUUAAUACUAAGAAGAAAUGAGCUAUUAAACCAUGAAAAAAUAUGUAGGAAACUUAAUGAUCAUUACCAAGUGAAAUAUUGCAAUCUGAAAAGGCUAUAGAACACAAAAUUCCAACUAUGUGACAUUCUAGAAAAGGCAAAACUGUGGAGACAGUAAAAACAUCAGUGGCUUUCAGGACUAGUGGGAAGGGAGAGAGGGAUGAAUAGGUGGAGCACAGAAUUUUUAGGGCAGUUAAACCAUAUUUUAUGAAAACAGAGUAUUAGAUACAUAUCAUUACACAUUUGUCAAAACCUAUAGGUUUUACAACAUAAAAAUUGAAGCUUAAUGUAAACUAUGGCUUGAAGUGAUAAUAAUGUGUCAGUGUAGGUGCAUCAAUUUGCAACAAAUGUACACUCUAAUUUGGGAUGCUGAUAGUAGGGGAGGCUGUGACUGCAUGGGAAUAGGGGGCUAUGAGAAUCAUCUAUACUUUCCACUUAAUUUUUCUAGGAAUCUAAAACUGCUCUAAAAAUAGAAUCUAUUAAAAAAAGAAGAAAACAAGCAUGGUGGCACAUUCUUGUAAUUCUGACUAUUCAAGAGGCUGAAGCAGGAGGAUCACAAGUUCAUGGACAACUUACUGAGAUCCUGUCUCAAAGAGAACUUUCUUAGCACAUUCGAGGCCGUGGAUUCAAUCUCAAGUAUAGAAGAAAGAGGAGGAGGAGGAGGAAGAAGAAGACAAGGAGGAGGGAGGAAGCAUGACUAUCUCAUAAGGCCCAACUUGAGGGAGUAUUCCCUGAUUCCCUGACCCAUCUCUCCCCACUUAAUCCUGGCAGAAAAACUACUUGUUCAUUUAUAUAAGUUCCCACUGUGUAUUAUUCCUACUUCUUUUAUAGUUUGCAUCACAUUGUUUUAUAGUUGUUUUGGGAUCUCACUUCUUGAACUAAAAUCUACUUGAGGGCAGAGGCAAUGUCAUAUUUUUUUUGACAUUUAUACAGUACUGGAAGCAUCACAUAGUAGAGAUAGAUGUAUAUUGUGUGAAUGUAUGAAGAACCUCCUAUAAUGAAUCUUUUUUCAAUGCAGUUUUAAAAUAAACUGCAACGAAUGAUUCUCUUUAGGCUUUGGGGUAUCCUGAAAACAGGCGCCUUUAAGAGGUUUCUCCCAGGGACAGUGGUCAGGACGACAAUGAGAGAGUAUUGAGGAAAGUUCCUAGGAAAUUGAGAAUAUACAAAAGUCCUAAACUAAGAACUUAUCCAUACUAAGAAUCCUCACAUAGUAGCAUAUUACUCUAGUAGAGCUUUGGGCAAAUACUCCUCCUUGGAGACAAUAUAAGCAAUUGAGAAAUUUGGGAUAAGACUUCUGUAUCUUUGUACCUUUCUGUAUCUUAUGUACCUUUGUAGGUAAAUGGGGAGAUGUUAGGGGACAACAAAGGGAUGACUUCAUUGUAGGGGAAGCUAUCUCAGCCACCACCCAAUGUCUCCCUGAAGUGCUCUUGUGGGAGCAUAUAGAAGUCUUACAGUUUAGAUAAAUGUAAAUGAGUGAAUGUUUUUCCUGAGAAUAUAUCCCCAGGAGGGAUGAAACUUUACUGUUAUUCAUUUUUAGCUCAGUGGGGAUCAUGGUAUGUAGUUAAUAUUUCUUAAAAACAGACUUUACAUAAAGAAAAAUGAAAUUAUGUAAUUUUCAGGAAAAUGGAUGGAACCAGAGACUAUUAUGUUAAGUGAAAUAAGCCAAACUCAGAAUGUCAGGGUUCAUAUGUUCUCUCUUAGAUGCAGAAGUUAGAGAGGAAAAAGGAAAAGAAAGAUGGGGGUUGACAUCAUAAAAAGCAAAGGGAGAUCAGUAGAGGAAAGGGACCAAAGAAUGGGAGGUGGGGAGGAAGGGAGAAAGUGUUGGGGAGUGAUAUUGGCCAAAUUCUAUUGUUACAUUGUGUGUAUGUAUGAAUAUGUAACAACAAAUCCCAUCAUUAUGUACAACUAUAAUGUACCAAUAAAUACAUGGAUUUUUAUAUAAUUUAAUAUGAUUUAAUAAAAAAACCCUAGACUUUAAGAAGACAAUUGAGAAAAAAACACUAGAGACACUGCUAAGAUCAGAAAGGAAGUUACCUGAGAGGUGACAGGGCACCCAAAAUAGCUUUCUUAACUUCCCAAAUUUUCCAGCAUUUAAUGGACAGAUGCACAUUUUUAGCCACACAACUUCUUUAAUUUUGGGACUAGGGCCUAUGUCUUGUUCUAAGAAAUCACUUAUUAAUAUUGUUUUAAAUAGAAGCAUUGAGACUGUAGGGGAUUUAUUAGUCAGGGCUCUGCUCCUCCUUUGCUGUGUAAUCUAUAGAAGUCACCACUCUCAGUGUCUUACCCUCUUUGAUCUUGGUUUUAUUCACUGAGAAAAUGGGCUUACCAAUACCUGUGCUACUCACCUUGCAGAGUAGUUGUGAAAAAUCCAUUGAGAUUGCUGGAAGUAAAGGUUAUGUGAAUUGGACAAACAAAUGAUUAUGUACAGUUGAUGUUAGUAUAGGAAGGGUAAGUGUUAAGAAGCUCCAUCACUUAAUAUCAAUGGAGUUUAUUGGUGGCACCAAACAAUUGAUGCAUUUAGUCUCUGACUCUUUUAAGUUGUGAAGGACCUUCUAUCAUAUUCUGGAAAGAAUCUUAUUAGCAUUUGGGAAAAGCAUUAUUAUAAAAACUUCUUGCAGGUUUUAACUCUAGGCACAUAUGUGUAUUUAAGAAUAUCUAGUCAUACUGGCCAUAGGAUUCAAGAUGGCAGAUUAGAGGAAGCCUGCAUUUUCAGUUGCUUUAUGACUCAGGAUUUAAGCAGCAGCAGAACUGCUUCUCAGUGAGCUCGGUAAAAGACAGAAUUCACUGGAGUUCAAGAUGAGACAGUCAGAAUCUCUUAGAGUCUCAGAAAUUUGGGUGCAUUGAAUUAAGAACAAGAAAGAGGACCUUGGUGUUAGCAUUAGGGGUGCUAGUUCACAGAAACAGAGAAAGAAACACAAUGAACAAAUUUUGCCUAAAAAACGUGCAGAUCAGGGGCUGGGAAUGUGGCUCAAGCAGUAGCGAGCUCGCCUGGCAUGUGUGCGGCACUGGGUUUGAUCCUCAGCACCACAUAAAAAUAAAAUAAAGAUAUUGUGUCCACUGACAACUCUCUCUCUCUCUCUCUCUCUCUCUCUCUCUCUCUCUCUCUUAAAAAAAAAAAAACAACAGCAACAACAACAACAACAAAAAAGUGCGGAUCAGGAAAGCUGUCUGAAUUUAGCAGAUCCCAAGGCUGCAGAGUGAAGCCGUGUUUGAAAAGCGCUCUGUGUU
rnacentral:lncRNA from 1 species